CCUACGGGGGGCAGCAGUGGGGAAUAUUGGACAAUGGGCGAAAGCCUGAUCCAGCCAUGCCGCGUGUGUGAAGAAGGCCUUCGGGUUGUAAAGCACUUUCAGUGGGGAAGAAAGCCUUGGGGCUAAUACCCUCGAGGAAGGACAUCACCCACAGAAGAAGCACCGGCUAACUCCGUGCCAGCAGCCGCGGUAAUACGGAGGGUGCGAGCGUUAAUCGGAAUUACUGGGCGUAAAGCGCGCGUAGGCGGUCUGAUAAGCCGGUUGUGAAAGCCCCGGGCUCAACCUGGGAACGGCAUCCGGAACUGUCAGGCUAGAGUGCAGGAGAGGAAGGUAGAAUUCCCGGUGUAGCGGUGAAAUGCGUAGAGAUCGGGAGGAAUACCAGUGGCGAAGGCGGCCUUCUGGACUGACACUGACGCUGAGGUGCGAAAGCGUGGGUAGCGAACAGGAUUAGAUACCCCGGUAGUC
rnacentral:rRNA from 1 species